rnacentral:rRNA from 1 species
UCAACCCAUUGUGACCUUACCUAUGUUCUGUUGCCUCGGCGGCGCGGUCAGCGCCCGAAAGGACGACGGCCCCCGCCGGCAGCACCAAACUCUUGAAUUUUACAGCGGAUUACAGUUCUGAUUUGAAACAAAAAAAAAACAAGUUAAAACUUUCAACAACGGAUCUCUUGGUUCUGGCAUCGAUGAAAAACGCAGCGAAAUGCGAUAAGUAAUGUGAAUUGCAAAAUUCAGUGAAUCAUCGAAUCUUUGAACGCACAUUGCGCCCGGCAGUAAUCUGCCGGGCAUGCCUGUCCGAGCGUCAUUUCAACCCUCGAACCUCUGUUUCCUCAGGGAAGCUCAGGGUCGGUGUUGGGGCGCUACGGCGAGUCUUCGCGACCCCCGUAGGCCCUGAAAUACAGGGGCGGUCCCGCCGCGGUUGCCUUCUGCGUAGUAAGUCUCUUUUGCAAGCUCGCAUUGGGUCCCGGCGGAGGCCUGCCGUCAAACCACUAUAACUCCAGAUGGUUUGACCUCGGAUCAGGUAGGGUUACCCGCUGAACUUAA